rnacentral:rRNA from 1 species
UGGGGAAUCUUCCGCAAUGGGCGAAAGCCUGACGGAGCAACGCCGCGUGAGUGAAGAAGGCCUUCGGGUCGUAAAGUUCUGUUGAAAGGGAAGAAGUCUAUUUAUGUAAAUAAUGUAAAUAGUUGACGGUAACUUUUGAGGAAGCUCCGGCUAACUACGUGCCAGCCGCCGCGGUAAUACGUAGGGAGCAAGCGUUGUCCGGAAUUACUGGGCGUAAAGGGCGCGUAGGCGGGAUAUUAAGUUAGGUGUGAAAACUCUGGGCUCAACUUGGAGACUGCACCUAAAACUGGUAAUCUUGAGGACAGUAGAGGAAAGUGGAAUUCCUAGUGUAGCGGUGAAAUGCGUAGAUAUUAGGAGGAACACCAGUGGCGAAGGCGACUUUCUGGACUGUAACUGACGCUGAGGUACGAAAGCGUGGGGAGCAAACA